rnacentral:rRNA from 1 species
AUUGAACGCUGGCGGCAGGCCUAACACAUGCCAGUCGCACGAGUGGCGGACGGGUGAGUAAUGUCUGGGAAACUGCCCGAUGGAGGGGGAUAACUACUGGAAACGGUAGCUAAUACCGCAUACCAUAGGAUGUGGCCAGAUGGGAUUAGCUUGUAGGUGAGGUAACGGCCUACCAAGGCGACGAUCCGUAACUGGGCUGAGAGGAUGAGCCGUCAAACUGGAACUGAGACACGGUCCAGACUCCUACGGGAGGCAGCAGUGGGGAAUAUUGGACUAUGGGCGAAAGCCUGAUCCAGCCAUGCCGCGUGUGUGAAGAAGGUCUUCGGAUUGUAAAGCACUUUAAGUUGGGAGUCGUUACCAACAGAAUAAGCACCUGCUAACUUCGUGCCAGCAGCCGCGGUAAUAC